rnacentral:lncRNA from 1 species
AUCUGCGACUCAUCAAGGUCAAAAACCCAAAUGCUCACAGGGCCUGGGCUAGUGAAGAAAUGGGGGCAGUGGGCCGAGGGGGCAGGACAGAGUGAAGAGCAGGGGCUCGCUCUGCAGCUUCAGGUCAACGUUUCCAAGCAGAAGAUGGGCCCAGGGUUGCCAGCUCCUCAAAGUUUUUUCAAGAGAAGCCAGAAAUCCCAAUUUUUAUAUAAAAAUAAGUUCAUUUAAAAAUGUUAAAAAGUAAUUCAGAUUUUUACAAACCACAAGACCAGCUAGAGAAAAUACAUCUGUGGGCCAGACUUGGCCUCUGGGCCACCAACUGGAACCUGUUGGGCCUCCAAAGAUUCUUGAUAGAGAAGAGAUAUUUGUUUAAAGUAAAAGUAAAAACAUCAUGAGCCAGCCCUGAUGGCCUAGCGGUUAAAGUUCCGCACGCUCACUGCUUUGGAGGCCUGGGGUCAUUUCCCGAUUGCAGAACCACACCGCCUAUCUGUCAGUUGCCAUGCUGUGGCGGCAGCUCACAUAGAAGAACUAGAAGGACUUACAACUAGAAGGUCCAAGAUGGAGCUGGCCGUGCCUGGGGUGUCACGUCAGCAAAUGGAAACUCAGAUCGCCUUCCUGCCCUUGUAAAUGCUCUGUUUGACCAGAAAGCAGUACAUCCAUUCAGCCAAUCUCCAACCACCACACCAAUUCCAGGCAUUCUCACCCCAAGAUUGACUAUAUGGCUCCAGUCAAUCAGAUAUUUUCUAUUUUGCUCUUGCUUGUUCUUUAUUCUUUAUCCUAUAAAAGCUUCCUGCCAUCCACCCCAUUUUGCAGCUCUCUGAAAGGAGACUGUCUACUUCAUGACGUGCUAAAUAAAGUUUGCUUGUAUCACCUAAA